GACGAACGCUGGCGGCGUGCUUAACACAUGCAAGUCGAACGGGAUGAUUUAGAAGCUUGCUUUUAGAGAAUCUAGUGGCAAACGGGUGAGUAACACGUAGACAACCUGCCGACAGGAUGGGGACAACAUUCCGAAAGGAAUGCUAAUACCGAAUGAAGCGGAGGAGAGGCAUCUCUCUUCCGUGAAAGAUGGCCUCUGAAUAUGCUAUCACCUGUCGAUGGGUCUGCGUCUGAUUAGCUGGUUGGUGAGGUAACGGCUCACCAAGGCGACGAUCAGUAGCCGGUCUGAGAGGAUGAACGGCCACAUUGGGACUGAGACACGGCCCAGACUCCUACGGGAGGCAGCAGUGGGGAAUCUUCCGCAAUGGGCGCAAGCCUGACGGAGCAACGCCGCGUGAGUGAAGAAGGUCUUCGGAUCGUAAAGCUCUGUUGAUGGGGACGAACGUACGGAGUGCAAAUAGUG
rnacentral:rRNA from 1 species